rnacentral:rRNA from 1 species
CGGAUGAACGCUGGCGGCGUGCUUAACACAUGCAAGUCGAACGGAGAAAGGGUAGCUUGCUAUCUUUCUUAGUGGCGGACGGGUGAGUAACGCGUGGGUAACCUGCCCUUUGCAGGGGGAUAACAGUGAGAAAUCGCUGCUAAUACCGCAUACCAACUUCUUUCGCAUGAAGGAAGUUUGAAAGAUUUAUCGGCAAAGGAUGGACCCGCGUUGGAUUAGCUAGUUGGUGAGAUAACAGCCCACCAAGGCAACGAUCCAUAGCCGGCCUGAGAGGGUGAACGGCCACACUGGGACUGAGACACGGCCCAGACUCCUACGGGAGGCAGCAGUGGGGAAUAUUGCACAAUGGGCGAAAGCCUGAUGCAGCGACGCCGCGUGAAGGAUGAAGGUCUUCGGAUUGUAAACUUCUAUCAGCAGGGAAGAAAGGGCUUAUAGCCUAUGACGGUACCUGACUAAGAAGCCCCGGCUAACUACGUG